GACGAACGCUGGCGGCGUGCUUAACACAUGCAAGUCGAACGGAAAGGCCCUGCGCUUGUGGGUUGCUCGAUUGGCGAACGGGUGAGUAACACGUGAGUAACCUGCCCUUGACUUUGGGAUAACUUCUGGAAACUGGGGCUAAUACCGGAUAUGAUCUCCUGCUGCAUGGGGGUGGUUGGUAAGUUUCGGCGGUUUGGGCUGGACUCGCGGCUUAUCGGCUUGUUGGUGGGGUAGUGGCUUACCAAGGUUAUGACGGGUAGCCGGCCUGAGAGCGUGACCGGGCACAAUGGGCCUGAGGUAGGGACCAGUCUCCAACGGGCCGCAGCAGGCGAGAAUAUUGCGCAAUGAGCCGGCGCCUGAGACGACGGCGCCGCGAGCGUGAUGACGUCCUUCGGGUGGUGAACCGAUUUCGACUGUGACGAAGCGUGCGUGACGGUAAUGGGUAAAGAAGCACCGGCUAACUACGUG
rnacentral:rRNA from 1 species